rnacentral:lncRNA from 1 species
AUGUACUGCCAGAUCCAACCCGUGUGUCUUGGGGUGGCUAAAUCUGACAAAGACCCUGAGUAUCUGGGGACACCUGUGAUCUCCUGCAAGGCUGAGGCUAAUGCCACGUUUUUGUAGCUCUUUGCAUGGGCACAUAUGUGAGAGAAUCAGAUAAAAGGUGCUCCCAAAAAGCAUUCUGUUCAGGGUGGAACCUGGGCUUGCCUCCUGCCUUUGGGUCCUCCCUGAUGGGGAGGACCUUGUACCUUGCAAAAGCAAGGAGAGGUAUCAGUGCUUCCUGUUGUCCUGACCUGUGCGGAGUGACACUGGGAACAUUGUGGUGACCAACACAGCCCUAGCCCUUGCCCUCAGAGUUCUAGUUCAAGGCUGGGAGCAGUGGCUCACGCCUGUAAUCCCAAUACUUUGGGAAGCCGAGGCAGGUGGGUCACUUGAGAUCAGGAGUUUGCAACCAGUCUGGCCAACAUGGUGAAACCCCAUCUCUACUAAAAAUACAAAAAUUAGCCGGGUGUGAUGGCAGGCACCUAUAAUCCCAGCUACCUGGGAGGCUUGAUCUUAGCCAAAAGGCCAAAAACCUUCUGAGGUUUCUGACUGGGCCUGGGAUGGGAGGUGGGGAGACAGUCCAAAUGUCCUGAGGCAGGGCUAACUUUAUGGCAGUGUGACUGUGGGGUUGCACCAUGCCCCAAACUUAGAAGGACCCUAUGCUUGUUUUAAUGCCCUGCUGUCAGUAUCUUAAAAUUAUUACAAAAGCCAAGAGAGGGCCAGGCGCAGUGGCUCACGCCUGUAAUCCCAACACUUUGGGAGGAUGAAGCGGGUGAAUCAUCUGAGGUCAAGAGUUCAAAACCAGCCUGGCAAACAUGGCGAAAACCCGUCUCUACUAAAACUACAAAAAAUUACCCAGACGUGGUGGCAGUAAUCCCAGCUACUUGGGAGGCUGAGGCAGGAGAAUCGCUUGAACCCGGAAGGCGGAGGUUGCAGUGAGCCCAGAUCCCGCCACCACACUCUCUCCUGGGUGACAGAGCAAGACUCCGUCUUAAAAAAAAAAAAAAAAAAAGCCAACAGAGGAAGAGGAAGGGAAAGGACUGCAAGCUCGAAGAAUGAGCCAGAAUUCAGUGUGGCCGGAACACCAUGGGAGAAGGGCACUGUGGGGCCAUGGAGGGUGGAGGGUGAUAAGGUGGAGGGACAGGGUCAGGCUUGCACUUUAGAAAAAUCCAUCUGAGCCGGGCGCGGUGGCUCAAGCCUGUGGUCCCAGCACUUUGGGAGGCCGAGGCGGGCGGAUCACGAGGUCAGGAGAUCGAGACCAUCCUGGCUAACGUGGUGAAACCCCAUUUCUACUAAAAAUACAAAAAAAAAAAAAAAUUAGCCGGGUGUGGUGGCGGGUGCCUGUAGUCCCAGCUACUCGGGAGGCUGAGGCAGGAGAAUGGCGUGAACCCCGGGGGCGGAGCUUGCAGUGAGCCAAGAUCGCGCCACAGCACUCCAGCCUGGGCGAGAGUGCGAGACUCCGUCUCAAAAAAAAAAAA